rnacentral:rRNA from 1 species
UACGUAGGGUGCAAGCGUUAUCCGGAAUUAUUGGGCGUAAAGAGCUCGUAGGCGGUUUGUCGCGUCUGCUGUGAAAACCGGAGGCUCAACCUCCGGCCUGCAGUGGGUACGGGCAAACUAGAGUGCGGUAGGGGAGAUUGGAAUUCCUGGUGUAGCGGUGAAAUGCGCAGAUAUCUGGAGGAACACCGGUGGCGAAGGCGGCAUCCUGGACCGGUAUUGACGCUGAGGCGCGAAAGCCAGGGGAGCAAAGCGGG